rnacentral:rRNA from 1 species
AUUGAACGCUGGCGGCAGGCCUAACACAUGCAAGUCGAGCGGUAGCACAGGGAGCUUGCUCCUGGGUGACGAGCGGCGGACGGGUGAGUAAUGUCUGGGAAACUGCCUGAUGGAGGGGGAUAACUACUGGAAACGGUAGCUAAUACCGCAUAACGUCGCAAGACCAAAGAGGGGGACCUUCGGGCCUCUUGCCAUCAGAUGUGCCCAGAUGGGAUUAGCUAGUAGGUGGGUAACGGCUCACCUAGGCGACGAUCCCUAGCUGGUCUGGUAGGAUGACCAGCCACACUGGAACUGAGACACGGUCCAGACUCCUACGGGAGGCAGCAGUGGGGAAUAUUGCACAAUGGGCGCAAGCCUGAUGCAGCCAUGCCGCGUGUAUGAAGAAGGCCUUCGGGUUGUAAAGUACUUUCAGCGGGGAGGAAGGUGUUGAGGUUAAUAACCUCAGCAAUUGACGUUACCCGCAGAAGAAGCACCGGCUAACUCCGUGCCAGCCGCCGCAAUAAAAC